rnacentral:lncRNA from 1 species
AAUUGGCUUGCAUUGCACCUUCCUACCCAAGCAGCUUGGUUUUCUUUCGCUUUGACCCUGUAAUUUCUUUCCCACUUCGUUGUCGUCUCUGAAUUACCUUUCUCUUGAUUCUUGCCCAUUAGCAUCCUCCAAUUUCAGAUGUUUGUAGAUCCCCAAGUGUUCCCAGGGAAAACUACUAGAAAAGGUCAAGCUGAUGCAAGAGAUGGUUUCCCAUGGUCUUGGGCAGCUCCACCCCUGUGGCUUUGCAGGGUACAAUCUCCCUCCUGGCUGCUUUCAUGGGCUGGCAUUGAGUGUCUGCAGCUUUUCCAGGUGCACAGUGCAAGCUAUCGGUGGAUCUACCUUUCUGGGGCCUGUGAUGAGAAGGGCUGCCGUGAAGACCUCUCACAUGCCCUGGAGGCAUUUUUCCUAUUGUCUUGGGGAUUAACAUUCGGUUACUUGUUACUUACGCAAAUUUCUGCAACUGGCUUGAAUUUCUCGUCAGAAAAUGGGAUUUUUCUUUUCUAUCACAUUGUCAGGCUGCAAAUUUUCCGAACAUUUAUGCUCUGCUUCCCUUAUAAAACUGAAUGCCUUUAACAGCACCCAAGUCACCUCUUGAAUGCUUUGCUGCUUAGAAAUUUCUUCUGCCAGAUACCCUAAAUUAUCUCUCUCAAGUUCAAAGUUCGACAAAUCUCUAGGGCAGGGGCAAAAUGCCACUAAUCUCUUUAUUAAAACAUAACAAGAGCCACCUUUGCUCCAGUUCCCAACAAGGUCCUCAUCUCCAUCUGAGAUUACCUCAGCCUGGAUUUCAUUGUCCAUAUUGCUAUCAGCAUUUUGGGCAAAGCCAUUCAACAAGUCUCUAGGAAGUUCCAAACUCUCCGACAUUUUCCUGUCUUCUGAGCCCUCCAAGCUGUUCCAACCUCUGCCUAUUACAAAGUUCCAAAGUUGCUUUCACAUUUUUGGCUGUCUUUUCAGCAACACCCCACUCCUGGAACCAAUUUACUGUAUUAGUCUGUUUUCAUGCUGCUAAUAAAAACAUACCUGAGACUGGGCAAUUUACAAAAUAAAGAGGUUUAAUUGGACUCACAGUUCCACGUGGCUGAGGAGGCCUCAGAAUCAUGGUGGAAGGCAAGGAGGAGCAAGUCACAUCUUAUAUCAAUGUCAGCAGGCAAAGAGAGCUUGUGCAGGGAACUCCUGUUUUGAAAACCAUCAGAUCUUGUGUGACUUAUUCACUACCACAAGAACAGUAUGGGGGAAACCACCCCCAUGAUUUAAUUUUCUCCCACAGAAUUUUUCCCUCAACAUGUGAGAAUUAUGGGAGUACAAUUCAAGAUGAUAUUUGGGUGGGACACAGCCAAACCAUAUCAAUCAUCAAACAAGAAAAGAGGGAAACUUUCACAACCAAGAGAUCCCUAAAGAGGUAUGCUGACUGAAUGUAAUGUGGGAUCCUAGGGCAAAAAGAAUAUUAUGUAAAAACGAAGGAUAUCUGAAUAAAGUAUGGACUUUAUUUAGUUAAUAAUAAUGUGUCAAUAAUGGUUCAUUAGAUGUAACAAAUGCACCAUAUUGAUGUAAGAUGUUCAAAGUAGGGAAAACUGAAUAUGAGUAUAUGGGAACUUUCUUUAUCUUUGCAACUUCUUGGUACAUCUAAAACUAUUCUGAAAUAAAAAAAUUUUUAAAGAGUUGCUUGAACCUUUAUUCUAACAUUUCCUUAAACAAGCCUCACCAUUGACCUUUCUUUUAAAACAAUAAAUUCCUUUUGCUU